rnacentral:misc_RNA from 1 species
GAAGCCCCAGAUAAUACAAGAGUAUGAGUCUGGAAAAGCAAUUCCUAAUCAACAGAUAAUAGGAAAACUGGAGAGGGCUCUUGGUGCGAAGCUGCGAGGGAAGAAGUGAAAGCUGACUUUGGACACAGCUGGGAGCUAUAAAGUUAUCCAAGUGUCUCUGGAGUUUUAAGACUGGUGAUGUACAUGAACUUCUUCUAUCAUUAAUAUGGCUCGCAUGUAAGAAACAUGAUCUUUGCUUUGUGUGGAGACUUGUAAUGUUGGAGUUGGAAUCUGAAUUUGUCCUUGUUCUUGCAUGAUCGUUGUUCUCUCAAGUUAUUGGUUGUUCUUUCGCACUUGCAAGUUGUAGAGCAACAACUGCUUCUCUGAUUUCAAGUUUGUAUCAAAUGAAAAGCAAAAAGCAUCUUUUGGUCCUCUCAGGUUUUUAUCUAUCGAGUUUCUAUAGUUUUAUUUGAUGAAAUUGAAUUCCUGAGCUUUUAUUAUUUUUCA